rnacentral:lncRNA from 1 species
CUAAAUGAACCAAAAAGCAGAAAACAGCCCUACUUUCCUCUUUUUCUGAAACUUUGCGUGAGGGAACUGCCGCCUUCUUCCUCAACAAUCGAGCGCCACCCGCCACCUAGACCACAGACCCCACUACCAAUCGAACCCCCUCGCCUCCCUCUUCAACUUCUUGUCAUCAAUUGGCCACGAAGUUGCCGAAAACAUCCCCAAUCACCACCCAAAAUCGGGCAAAGAGUCAUCGUUUUCACCAUAUUUCGACUGUCGUUGGCCACUGUUUUGAUCGCGGACAAUCACCACUCCACUCCUUUCAACCAGGCGCAUCCAAUACCACCAUGGGUCACAUGCAAUUUUGUCCCGAAUCAGCGUGCUUGUGAAAGCAGUCCAUGAGUUGUGACAUAGAUUUGGUCCCAACAAAAUUGAUGAAAAUUUAUUGAUGGGUAAGCAUUUUUUUUUUUUUUAAUUUAUGGGUUAAUUUUUAACGGUUUGUGAAUUCUCUCUUCUCUUAUCGUAAGAAUUUUCCAUUUUCUCUCUUCAAAUUUUUGCUUCACUAUACAUAUAUACACAUACAUAUAUAUAGAUAAAGAUAUAGAGUUGUGGAAUUGGCAAUGGGAUUUUCGAAGAAAUGUGUGUCUCCUUGUUCUUUGCUGCUGUUAAUACUCUUCAUUAGUUAAGAGCUCUUCAUUUUUCAUUUGCUAUUGUUGUCAAUGCUGUUAAUGCUCUUCAUUGCAAGCAAACGUACCCUAAAUAAUAAAUAAAAAAUAUUCAAGAGUGGUGGUAGCAGUUUGAGUUGAGGUUCCAACGAAAUAAAUUUUUUGUUUACGAUAGAUGCCAGACCCAUUGGGUUGGGAUUCAGAAGUCAGAUUUUGGAAUUGGAGACUAACUAGUAAGUGACAAUUUCCUAAAUAUCCAUUUUUCUUUCUUUCUUCCCAUAGAUGAAUUCUAUUUUUUUAUGUGCUCUUGCUACUUCAAUAGAUGUAAGUAAGAAAAUUAAGAUUCAUUUUCAAUAAUGUAAGUUCAUCUUUAAUUCGUGCAUUCACAUGAAAACACUGUCUGUUUCUAAGCAUAAACAUUUUUUUUGGGUGCUCUUAUCUUGAAACCAACUUAGUUAAGAGCUUCAGUUUGAAGAGCAUUAACAGCAGCAGUUUUAUUCAUUUUCAUUGCUACUGUUAAUGCUCUUCAUUUAUUCAUUUUGGGCGUCUCUUUGUUCUUUGUUGCUGUUAAUGCUCUUCAUCGUGGAAUUGGCAAUGGGGCGAUCUUUCUUUAGUUAGAGCUUCAGUUUUAUUCAUUUUUAUUGAAUGAACUUUUGAGAACUUCAAAAUUGAUUGUACCAACAAGGUUGACAUCUUCUCUAUUUCCAGAGUGUACUAUAUACUAAAUUUAUUGCGAGAUUCUUAAAAAACUGUUUAGAUAGGACAAUGAACUAUUUCAAUAUUGAAUGGCAAAACUUAAAUAAAUAAAACUGCUUCUAUGUAGUAGUCUAAUUACAAAGUUUUGUGGCAGUCACUAAUUACAAAGUUUUGAUGGCUUUAGUCCAGAAUUAGCGCUUGCGAUAAUUGGAGGAGAGAAUGAGCUUGAAGAAAAGCUUGUGGUAUAUCAACUUUCUCUAUAUAUUUUUUACCAUCCUUUUUUUCAUUAUAUGCUAGUCAAAUUCUUGAAUACAACCUCAAUUUCCAUUUUGAUCGUUGCACUUCUUGAGGUUCUGGCAGGUUAGGCCUACAAGUGAAACAAUCGUGAACCAUAUGUUUACUCAAUGGAUUCAUAGUUACCGUGAUCAACCAAGUGUCUCUUCAUCACAUCAUUUCUCGUUUUCUUCACUUGGAGGAGUAUUACUUGACAAUAAGAAAUUCAAACAAAUUAGCAAAGAGUUAACAAAAUGUCUUAAAAGGUUUCAAAGAACGUACUUUUUUGCGCCAUCUGGGUUCUUAUCCAACUCAUUCGCCCAAUCAUACGACUUGAUAUGCAUGGUCCCGAAGAGAAAUUUGCUGAAAACCGUCAUUCCCAGACGAUUAUGAAGAGGAAUGACACUUGAAGGUGGCAAGCAAAAAAUUCCAAUUUGCAAUAGUUGCAAUCAGCAAAGCAAAUGAGGCAUGAAGUAGUGUAUGAGGAUGCAAAGUAUACAUACUGAGAAUUUUCCACACACAUGAAGAUGCAAAUAGGUUAUCACGGGAGCUCUUUUAUCGUUAAAAAAAUAGCAUAUUUGGCUUCAGGCCGACGUCUGCUAGAGUCAUCUUAUCUGCGAGAUUAAGUAUAUUUUUAGCUUAGUCGUAGGACUCGAAAUUGAAAUAAAAUAGCAGUUUAUAAAUCUGUGUGCAUAUAAGAAUUUAUUCUGCUUGAAGCCCAUGUUAGCCGUCAGGUUAUUUGUAGGAACAUGUCACCCUGAACAAUGAGAUAUUUAUUGCUUGUAUGAUACGUGGACUCGUAUUGAACAUAGAGGAAGAAGAGGAAAGCAAAACUAUGAGUUAUAUUCUUUCCCUGCUUAUUUUGACCAUGUGGUUUGGAUUUUUUGUACAAUUUUUG